rnacentral:lncRNA from 1 species
AUAAAAUUGUUGGUUAGGUGUUGUUUGUAUAUACUUAGAUCUAUUAUGAAUUUUAAAAAUAUGUUGUGUAUAUACAUGUACAUUGUUACUAGUUUCUUUGUCUUCCACCCAAAUCCCUGAGUAUUUUGCUAUUAUUUGGUUACUCUGAUGAAGUCUAUAAGCAUAGACGAAAGCUUAGACCAUUAAUAAAAAGGCACAUCCUACGAAGCACCCGAGUUUUAUUUUGCUUCCUCAG